rnacentral:rRNA from 1 species
AGAACGAACGCUGGCGGCAGGCCUAAUACAUGCAAGUCGAACGAUGUAGCAAUACAUAGUGGCGCACGGGUGAGUAACGCGUGGGAAUCUGCCCAUUAGUACGGAAUAACUGCGGGAAACUGCAGCUAAUACCGUAUACGCCCUUCGGGGGAAAGAUUUAUCGCUAAUGGAUGAGCCCGCGUAAGAUUAGCUAGUUGGUGGGGUAAAAGCCUACCAAGGCUACGAUCUUUAGCUGGUCUGAGAGGACGACCAGCCACACUGGAACUGAGACACGGUCCAGACUCCUACGGGAGGCAGCAGUAGGGAAUAUUGGACAAUGGGGGAAACCCUGAUCCAGCCAUGCCGCGUGAGUGAUGAAGGCCUUAGGGUUGUAAAGCUCUUUUACCAGGGAAGAUAAUGACGGUACCUGGAGAAUAAGUUCCGGCUAACUUCGUGCCAGCAGCCGC